ensembl:lncRNA
AGGCAUUUAUUUUAAGUUGGGAAAACUAAUGAGGGUGUCCACUUAAUAGUCUGUAAGAAUAUUCAAGAUUCAGUAAAACUGAGUUACUUCAUUCAGAACCACAGUCUCAAUGCAAUGAGACAAAAAUCAGGACCUGAUAGCAGAGCUUAACUAUGUGGUACAUCUUUAUCACAUGGGCUCAGAUUUUAAGUGAUUUUUGAAAAAGUUGUGCAGGAUAUGUCUUCCUGAGUACAUUAAAUGUGCAGAGAUGUCUUAAAAUUACAUUUCUGAGAGUAAAUAGAUUUACUGUUUUGCCAAUUAAGUCUUCUAGAAGACUGUGACAAGUUUACUUUCUUGUUUUUUGUUGUUAUUUUUUAAGUAGUCUGCCUUCAAAUGUCUGAAUCGUUAAGACAAAUUAAAUGUCAUUUCCUGUAGCAAUAGCCAUAAUCUAAACACUUCAUCUGGAAUCCCAUCAAUACUGUAUAUUUGGCUGGCAAAUGAUUCAUGUUGCAUUAAAUUACACUUCUGUUUUCCUGGGCUGCCUCUUCAAAUUUUCUUGACACUUCAAUUCAUUAAGCAGAUGGAGAGGCAGCAUGUGACUGAAAUAUUUUGUUCAAUAAUACUUAGGUCCAUUCCUGCAAACCAGUGUAGUCCACCGCUCUUAGAGGAGAAUUGUUUCACUUCAGCACCUUUCCUAAUAACUGGCUGAAGGCUCCCUUACAGAAAUCCAUUUCUGACAAUUCAUGCAUGGUUGAUUAAAUACCUCUAUUUAACCCCACUUCUUUCCCUUGAUAGAUUCAACGAAACUGAAGCUGGAAAGUUGUUGAUUAAGAUGAUAUUGGACAAUUAAUUAUGCAUUGUAAUAAUCUUUGACCCAAGCAAAUACUUCCUUUUAUUUUUAAUCAACCAAAAUGAAAAGUGAUCAAAUAAUUACAUGUUCUUGUCUUCCAAUCAAGCUGUAGGUAGGGAAAGAAUGAUGAGAGAGGAAAUCAAGCAGAACUUCAAAGAAAGUAGUGAUAAGAAUGAAGCAAACACAUAAGAAAUAGAUCUCUUGAAAUUAAUAAUUAUAUUAUUAUUUCACUUGCUUCAGCGUCAUAUAAACAACUGAAGACCUCCUGAGAUUACUUCUGCACUCAGCUUGAUGUCAAUUAGCACCACUAGGACAUGAUAAGUGAUAAGAACCUUUAUUAUAGAAAUGAUUCUGCACUUAAUUCUUCACGGAUUGCUUCCUUUGUGUCUUCGGAGUGGAGAGGGAGGGAAUAUUUCAUGAAGCAAACAAAUAAAAAAAAAACACAGUGCAUUGUAUUAAACACUGCACAAAAGGAAUGUUUAUAACUUCUCAACUUCACAGUCUUAUGAAAGUAAUUACCUUUUGCAAAAAAGCAGUAUUAACUCUCAACCUCUUCAGUCAUUUUAGAUCUGAGGAAAUAAUUAUUAUUGUAUUGUUUUGGAGUAGAACUGCAUCGAACUUAUUAAAAUCCCAAAUUAAGAGAAUUUUAUAUGUUGUUUUUAGGUAGAUUCCAUAUUAAUGAGUCAAUCUUUCACUGACCAAACCACCUACUUCUUUGACUGCAUUGUGGUUUGGUAGUCAAAGGUACUCUCAGUAUAUCAUCAUCACCUAAAGCAUUACUAGAUUUGCCUAUGCUUCAGCUACUGUACAUAUGUAAUUAUCUUAACUAGUGAAAUUAAAUACUUUACAU